AGUUUUUCCCAUAUGAUAUUUGUCAAAUUCAGAAAUUACAUUAAAGAGUUAGUUGCGCUGGUAUACAUUCAUAUUCUUAUCACAAUUGUAGAAAACGAGUUCUAGUAAACCGAUAGAAACAUAGAAAAUCGAUUGCUCGCGUGACACACGAAUUCUAAAAAUUUGUUUGUGUAUUUUGUUUUAGCUUAUCGCUCUUGGGUAUUUUAGAAGCCGAGCUUCGAAAUCGACUUCAGUUCCUAAGAGAGCUAUCACGAUGAAACUACAAUGGCUCCUGUUUGCCUUCUUGGUGUGCUGUUUGGUCAGCCAUUCAUACGCUUACUAUCCUAAAUAUUGCUGCCUGUAUACUGGACAUGGCAUAAGAAUAUGUUGCAACCGUAGAAAGCGGCACACAAUUGCAAAGAGAUAUUCAUGGUGUAGUGACCCCUUCGGCUAUGGUUAAAAGGCGAAAUAUGGAAAAUGUAAAUGGGAAAAUAGUUAAAUUAAUAAAGUCCGUUUUUAG